AAAGAUUAAGCCAUGCAUGUAUAAGUAUAAACGCUUUAAGCGUGAAACCGCGAACGGCUCAUUACAACAGCUAUAAUUUACUUGAUCUUGACAAACUUACAUGGAUAACUGAGGUAAUUCUUGAGCUAAUACAUGCACCAAAGCUUUGACCGUAAGGGAAGAGCGCAUUUAUUAGAACAAAACCAAACGGCUUCGGCUGUUCCCAGUUGAAUCAGAAUAACUCAGCUGAUCGUACGGUCUUGCACCGACGACGUGUCUUUCAAGUAUCUGCUUUAUCAACUUUCGAUGGUAGGGUAUCUGCCUACCAUGGUGGUGACGGAUAACGGAGGAUCAGGGUUCGACUCCGGAGAAGGGGCCUGAGAAAUGGCCACUACGUCUAAGGAUGGCAGCAGGCGCGCAAAUUACCCACUCUCAGAAUUUGGAGGAGGUAGUGACGAGAAAUAACGAGGUUGAUCUCUUCUGAGGCCAACCAUCGGAAUGGGUACAAUUUAAACCCUUUAACGAGUAUCUAUGAGAGGGCAAGUCUGGUGCCAGCAGCCGCGGUAAUUCCAGCUCUCAAAAUGCAUAGAAUUAUUGCUGCGGUUAAAAAGCUCGUAGUUGGAUCUGCAGCCGGAGCUCUGGUCCAUCUUCGGAUGUGUACUGGAUGUCCCCGGCUUUCUGACAGUGUUCGGCUCUGUGCCUCUAACCAGGUGUGGAUGUCCGAUACUGUAAGUUUACUUUGAAUAAAUCAGAGCGCUCUAAACAGGCGUUUUGCUUGAAUGAUUGUGCAUGGAAUAAUAGAAGAGGAUUUCGGUUCUAUUUUAUUGGUUUUAUAGACUGAGAUAAUGGUUAACAGAGACAAACGGGGGCAUUUGUAUGGCUACGUGAGAGGUGAAAUUCUUGGACCGUAGCCAGACAAACUACAGCGAAAGCAUUUGCCAAGAAUG
rnacentral:rRNA from 1 species